rnacentral:rRNA from 1 species
AAAUGCAUAGAUAUGCUACAGAACACCGAUCGCGAAGGCAGCUCACUAAACCAACACUGACGCUCAGGCACGAAAGCGUGGGUAGCGAACAGGAUUAGAUACCCUGGUAGUCCACGCCGUAAACGAUGAUUACUCGUUGUUGGCGAUACACAGUCAGUGACUAAGCGAAAGCGAUAAGUAAUCCACCUGGGGAGUACGUUCGCAAGAAUGAAACUCAAAGGAAUUGACGGGGGCCCGCACAAGCGGUGGAGCAUGUGGUUUAAUUCGAUGAUACGCGAGGAACCUUACCUGGGCUCAAAUGUAAGUUGACGUAACGGGAAACCGUUAUUUCUUCGGACAAUUUACAAGGUGCUGCAUGGUUGUCGUCAGCUCGUGCCGUGAGGUGUCGGGUUAAGUCCCAUAACGAGCGCAACCCCUAUCAUUAGUUGCCAUCAGGUAAAGCUGGGGACUCUAAUGAAACUGCCUACGCAAGUAGAGAGGAAGGUGGGGAUGACGUCAAAUCAGCACGGCCCUUACGUCCAGGGCUACACACGUGCUACAAUGGCCGGUACAGAGGGCAGCCACCUGGUGACAGGGAGCGAAUCUCGAAAGCCGGUCUCAGUUCGGAUCGAAGUCUGCAACCCGACUUCGUGAAGCUGGAAUCGCUAGUAAUCGCGCAUCAGCCAUGGCGCGGUGAAUACGUUCCCGGGCCUUGUACACACCGCCCGUCAAGCCAUGGAAGCUGGGGGUACCUGA